rnacentral:rRNA from 1 species
CCAAUAGCGUAUAUUAAAGUUGUUGCAGUUAAAAAGCUCGUAGUUGAAUUUCGGAAUCGAUGGAUCGGUCAUGCCAUUCGGUGUGUACUGGUUUAAUUGGUUCUCACCUUCUAAGGAACCGUGAUGUCAUUAAUUUGGUGUCGCGGGAAAUUAGGACUGUUACCUUGAAAAAAUUAGAGUGUUUAAAGCAAGCUCACGCUUGAAUACAUUAGCAUGGAAU